AGUCCAGCAAUGACACUAAGUUUUUAAACACCUAUUUUAUUUAAACAUUUUAAAUGACAUUUUAGAGACUCUAUAACCAUAAACCCUAAACUGUAUUGGGGCAAAACACACUUGCGUCCUCCUAUAGGCAGGUUCACUACAGCUCUGGUUGUUUUAAACUAACCUAACUUUUGCUGAUUGUUUAUUUAAUUUCUGAUGGUCAACCCAAUUUCUGUGUUCUGUAACUGUCCCCAUGUUGAUGAAUGAAGGGAAUUUGGCCUCUGUGCUCCCUCAUAUUCAUCUCGCAGUGAAACAGGAAAUCACAGACGGCUUUCAGACAGUUCCUGAAUUCUGUACAUUGUGUUGCUUUUAUUUGUUGAAUUAAACCACUGCCCACUACUCUGUCUUAAAUAGGUUUGGCCUUCAUGGGUCAGUAGAUAAGCAAAUACAAGCUGCCUCCCUGCAUCUCUCUGUAUUUAGAAGACACUCUCUAAGCAGUAGAGAACAGAGAAGAUCCUACAGGUCCAACUUCAACACCAGCCAUGUUCUCUACAUCUCUGCUGCUCCUGCUGGCAGCUGCAUCCUGUGUUCACUGUGAAGAACUGACUCAGCCUGGUUCCAUGGUGGUCCGUCCAGGCCAGAGUCUGACCAUCGACUGCAAGGUUUCAUAUUCAGUUACAAGCUAUUAUUCAGCUUGGAUCCGACAGCCUGCAGGAAAAGCUCUGGAGUGGAUUGGAUAUAUGUAUAGUGAUGGGAGCACAGCUUACAGUGAUAAACUGAAGAGCAAGUUCAGCUUCUCCAGAGACACUGGAACCAACACAAUAACAUUACGAGGACAGAACCUGCAGACUGAAGACACAGCUGUGUAUUACUGUGCGAGACACACAGUGACACUAACUAAUGAACACGGCUUACAAAAACCCAGAGCCGACACUCAGCUAAACUUGAAAGGGUCAUUAAAUAGUCGCUUGUGUCAUAUUUGUCUUUUUUGCAUGUAAAACACAAGGUGCUGUUAAUAUAUACAAAAAAGUGGUGUUUUAAAAUAUAAAAUCAAUAAACAAAGUGUUUCUCA